rnacentral:rRNA from 1 species
GUGGGGAAUAUUGCACAAUGGGGGAAACCCUGAUGCAGCAACGCCGCGUGAGUGAAGAAGGCCUUCGGGUUGUAAAGCUCUGUCUUUUGGGACGAUAAUGACGGUACCAAAGGAGGAAGCCACGGCUAACUACGUGCCAGCAGCCGCGGUAAUACGUAGGUGGCAAGCGUUGUCCGGAUUUACUGGGCGUAAAGGAUGCGUAGGUGGAUAUUUAAGUGGGAUGUGAAAUACCCGGGCUCAACUUGGGUGCUGCAUUCCAAACUGGAUAUCUAGAGUGCAGGAGAGGAAAGUGGAAUUCCUAGUGUAGCAGUGAAAUGCGUAGAUAUUAGGAGGAACACCAGUGGCGAAGGCGACUUUCUGGACUGUAACUGACACUGAGGCAUGAAAGCGUGGGGAGCAAACAGGAUUAGAUACCCGAGUAGUCC